UAGAGGUAUUAGUUUUAGUAACAUAAGUUCUUAUAUUUCACUAUGUGAGAAAAUUAUUGUAUUAGUUGAUUUCAGUUAUAAUAUCAUCAUCCAUAUGGAUGCAUGUUCUUAAUGUUUUCUUCGGUGAUUCCUCUCAAUUUUUCUAGAAGGAUUUGAUAAUAGAGGAUGAAGAAAGCAUGAAAAAGGAUGAUAAUAAAAGAUCAUAGACCGUACACUUGGAAUGAGGGGGCUUCCGAAGGGCACUGAAGAUACAAAAGAGAUGAUCAUAUGUUUUGUUGACACUGAAAUGAGUUGAAACUCCCAAUUGAAGUUGUUGAAACUAUAGAGAAACCACAAGAAGAGCUUUUCUUCUUGGCUUGUGAUCAACUAUGAUGUUUCGCGGAGCUUUCCAGGUUAUUUUCUUACUAUUUUUUUCCUUCUCAUUAUACUGAUGGAUUUACUGUUCAGGUGAAGUGCAUGUCUUCAAAUUAUUUACUGUCAUUGAAUGUAUCAUAUACUUUCUUGGUAAAUCAGUUUGCUAGACACGUAUAUUCUAUCUAUAUUGAUCAUGUGUAAGGUCUUGAUAAUGUGCAUAAUUUGUGCAUAAUUUUAGGUGGCUUAAGGGUAGCUUACAUUUUGGACCUUUGGAAGAUACCUAUAUGGGUAAUAUUAGCAACUUGAAUCAGUAGUCAAAACAGAGUUGCACUUCCUCAGUUGAGGUGAGGAGUAUAUGAUACCCAAUAUUUUGUCGCAAUGACAAAUGCAGUCAUUUGUUCUUAUGAUUUAGCAUGAAUAGAAUAUCAACUUGCUUAUCUGUAAAUAUCCUUCAAGAAAGCUCUUCAAAUUUUUUAAUGACUAUGGAAUUCACAGCUAUUUCAGGGUAAUAGCAUGCAAAUCACAAAUUUGAGGUAGCCACAUUAAACAAGUCAUGUGUGACAAGUUCGACCGAGAAAGCAUGUAAGGAGUUUUGAACUUGAGACCUCUCAUUUGGGAGGUUCCCCGCUCCCCAUAAGGCUCAUGGUCGGAAGAUUGCAAGUUCAAAUCGUGUCCCCACCUAAUCAGUGGAGUUACAACCACAUAAAGAAUGAGUACUCUGUUCUUAUUUCAUUGUACAUAAUAUUUUUUGUCAGCCAUCAAUUAAUAGUCCUAAUUAUAUAAAAGAUAUAAUCUAUUUCCUAAUUUUCCAAAUAUUAGCCCAUCGCUUCUUGUAAGCCUCUUAAAUUAGGCCUAAGAGAAGGAAAUGAAUUUUUAGAAAACUCAAAGGUGCAAAUUCAUAGUGCACGCUUGCAGGCAGUCUCAAUUAUCAUAGAUUUUUUCACCUUAGGCUUUGUGAUAUUAUUCAGUUAUAAUGUCUGGUUGUAUUGAACAUAAUACCGUAUUCGAGGAAAUUCUUUUGCUCUUUUCAGGAAAGCCACUAAAGAAUUUACCAAGUAUUUUUACAGGAUAUGACCUUCAAUUAAUAUUUUAUCAAAACAUAACAAGUGAUGACUUAGAUGAAGUCUAAGCCGAGUUUACUGUUUACCUUUCUUCUGCAAAAAAA